UGGCUCAGGAUGAACGCUGGCGGCGUGCCUAAUACAUGCAAGUCGAACGAGUUCUGAUUAUUGAAAGGUGCUUGCAUCUUGAUUUAAUUUUGAACGAGUGGCGGACGGGUGAGUAACACGUGGGUAACCUGCCCUUAAGUGGGGGAUAACAUUUGGAAACAGAUGCUAAUACCGCAUAAAUCCAAGAACCGCAUGGUUCUUGGCUGAAAGAUGGCGUAAGCUAUCGCUUUUGGAUGGACCCGCGGCGUAUUAGCUAGUUGGUGAGGUAACGGCUCACCAAGGCAAUGAUACGUAGCCGAACUGAGAGGUUGAUCGGCCACAUUGGGACUGAGACACGGCCCAAACUCCUACGGGAGGCAGCAGUAGGGAAUCUUCCACAAUGGACGCAAGUCUGAUGGAGCAACGCCGCGUGAGUGAAGAAGGCUUUCGGGUCGUAAAACUCUGUUGUUGGAGAAGAAUGGUCGGCAGAGUAACUGUUGUCGGCGUGACGGUAUCCAACCAGAAAGCCACGGCUAACUACGUGCCAGCAGCCGCGGUAAUACGUAGGUGGCAAGCGUUAUCCGGAUUUAUUGGGCGUAAAGCGAGCGCAGGCGGUUUUUUAAGUCUGAUGUGAAAGCCCUCGGCUUAACCGAGGAAGUGCAUCGGAAACUGGGAAACUUGAGUGCAGAAGAGGACAGUGGAACUCCAUGUGUAGCGGUGAAAUGCGUAGAUAUAUGGAAGAACACCAGUGGCGAAGGCGGCUGUCUGGUCUGUAACUGACGCUGAGGCUCGAAAGCAUGGGUAGCGAACAGGAUUAGAUACCCUGGUAGUCCAUGCCGUAAACGAUGAAUGCUAGGUGUUGGAGGGUUUCCGCCCUUCAGUGCCGCAGCUAACGCAUUAAGCAUUCCGCCUGGGGAGUACGACCGCAAGGUUGAAACUCAAAGGAAUUGACGGGGGCCCGCACAAGCGGUGGAGCAUGUGGUUUAAUUCGAAGCAACGCGAAGAACCUUACCAGGUCUUGACAUCUUUUGAUCACCUGAGAGAUCAGGUUUCCCCUUCGGGGGCAAAAUGACAGGUGGUGCAUGGUUGUCGUCAGCUCGUGUCGUGAGAUGUUGGGUUAAGUCCCGCAACGAGCGCAACCCUUAUGACUAGUUGCCAGCAUUUAGUUGGGCACUCUAGUAAGACUGCCGGUGACAAACCGGAGGAAGGUGGGGAUGACGUCAAAUCAUCAUGCCCCUUAUGACCUGGGCUACACACGUGCUACAAUGGAUGGUACAACGAGUUGCGAGACCGCGAGGUCAAGCUAAUCUCUUAAAGCCAUUCUCAGUUCGGACUGUAGGCUGCAACUCGCCUACACGAAGUCGGAAUCGCUAGUAAUCGCGGAUCAGCACGCCGCGGUGAAUACGUUCCCGGGCCUUGUACACACCGCCCGUCACACCAUGAGAGUUUGUAACACCCGAAGCCGGUGGCGUAACCCUUUUAGGGAGCGAGCCGUCUAAGGUGGGACAAAUGAUUAGGGUGAAGUCG
rnacentral:rRNA from 1 species